UACGUAGGUGGCAAGCGUUGUCCGGAAUACUGGGCGUAAAGCGUGCGCAGGCGGUUUUGUAAGCCAGAUGUGAAAUCCCCCGGGCUUAACCUGGGAAUGGCAUUUGGGGACUGCAAGGCUUGAGUGCGGCAGAGGAGACUGGAAUUCCUGGUGUAGCAGUGAAAUGCGUAGAUAUCAGGAGGAACACCGAUGGCGAAGGCAGGUCUCUGGGCUGACACUGACGCUCAUGCACGAAAGCGUGGGGAGCGAAACAAA
rnacentral:rRNA from 1 species